CCACAUCAUCAAGUUUGCUGAUGACACGGCCGUGGUGGGUCUUAUAAGCAAAGGCGACGAAUCAGCGUACAGAGAGAAGGUGCUUCGGCUAGCGGAUUGGUGUCAACAACCUGUCCCUGAACGUGGACAAAACUAAAGAGAUGGUUGUUGAGUUUAGGAGAUCACAUACCAAUCACUCUCCACUGAACAUCGACGGCUCCUCUUUGGAGAUCGCAAAGAGCACCAAAUUCAUUGUUGUUCAUCUGACUUGAGAACUUCACCUGGUCUCUCAACACCAGCUCCAUAGCAAAGAAAGCUCAGCAGCCUCUUUACUUUUUAUGCAGACUGAAGAAAGCACAUCUCCCACCCCCCAUCCUCACCACAUUUUACAAAGGGACUGAGCACCUGCAUCACUACCUGGUUUGGGAAUUGCACCAUCACAGAUCGCAAGACCCUGCAGCGGAUCGUGAGGACAGCUGAAAAGAUCAUUGGAGUCUCUCUCCCCUCUAUCACAGACGUUUACACCACUCGCUGCAUUCCGAAAGCCAUCACGAUUACUAGCGACCCUACAAACCCCUCACACCAGCUCUUCACCCUUCUGCCAUCCAGAAGAAGCUACAGAAGCAUUCAGGCCCUCACGGUCAGAUAGUGUGACAGUUUCUUCCCUCGAGUCAUCAGACUCCUCAACUCCAUGAGAACUGACCUGACAACUACACUCACACAUGUACACCCCUACUAUAAAUACUUGAAUUACAAACACUUGGAACCCAACUGCAUACUUUGCAUGUCCGGACAUUUGCAUGAAUCUACCUCAAUAUUGUGCCUUGUCUAUUAAUAUUGUGACCUGUUCUAUGUAUAAAAAUAUGUAUAUGUUUAUAUAUGUAUAUAUACAUAUAUUGUAAUGUCCCAUUCAUGUUUCAUUCAGACAUGCAGACGCACUUUAUGUAGUCUGUACUUUGCUUUAUGUUCAACUUUUUUACUUUUACUUCUUCUUCUUCUUCUUCCAGUUUUAGUAUUAUGUUAGAUUAUUUAAGAUAAUUUAAUUAUGUAUAGUCCUUUGCAAAGUACAAUGUGAGUUUUGUAGUUAAUGUUGUCUUGUGUAGCACCAUGGUCCUGGAGAAACGCUGUUUCGUAGCUGUAUAGAGCUGAAAUGAUAAUAAAGCCUCUCUGACUUUGACUGACUUUUUUUUAUAAAUUGAGUUUUUCCUUCCGUUUUUAAAAAAAUUUCCGUCCACAUGAAAGUGCAAACGCAUGCUAUGAUGCACUGUAAAGAGCAGGUCAAACCAACAGGAGGUUUGUUCUUCAAAGAGCGUGAGGAAGAUGAAAAGAUCCACAUGAAAGGAUGAAGGUCCAUCUGAAAGACCUCUGCUGGCGCUGUGUGAAGGACGCAUGGAGGACCGGUGUGUGAAGUGACCGGGGCUGAAGAGAGACGUCCAGAUGACAGCAGCUGCUCUUCGGGAAUCUCAGCAGUUCUGCUGCGCAUCGAGCUGCACGUCUCUACAUCCUCCUCCACGGAUUUCACUACUCCAUCCACCCACCAUCCAUCCAUUUUUGACUGGGCCCAGGAGGAUUAUGCUGUUCUUCACAGGACGAGAUCUCAGAGCGUGGGCAGGAGAGUCAGCAGCGAGCCCCUAAUGACACAGCGACACCCACACACGUCCAAAACCAAUUUUACCCUCACUAAAAGAACAGCCCUCGCACGUUCCCAUGCAUACAAAUGGCUGAUCGAUGGCGGUCAGCGACUCUCGGCCCUCUGAGAUAUAGUGAGCUCCAGAUCGAUGCCAAUGACAGGUGUUAGAACCACAGACCCCUCCAACAACAAUCCCUGGAAAUGUUGGUUUCCACUCGUCUCUCGUAAUCUCAUUAGGGACAUGAAUGGCUCCCUUUUGAAAGGCGCUGAUGCCGGAGAAGAGGAGGGCGGCAUGGAGAAUGAGUAUUGAAUUUGAGUAAUCCGGGAUGGAGGGCAGCGUUCCAUCUCUUGUGCUGGAGCUGCAGAUAAGGCGUCGUCUAUUGAGGGCUCGUCAGCGCUCACACUCAGAAGGUGUCUUGCAGAGGAAGAGUGAUAAGAAGUUCGCCCUGAGCACAUCGGGCCUUCGGUAUCUGGUGGUAAUUGUGCUGCGGAUCCGUCUCAGAAAGUUUCACACAGAGUUGAGCAGC
ensembl:lncRNA